rnacentral:rRNA from 1 species
UGGGGAAUCUUAGACAAUGGGGGAAACCCUGAUCUAGCCAUGCCGCGUGAGUGACGAAGGCCCUAGGGUCGUAAAGCUCUUUCGCCAGGGAAGAUAAUGACGGUACCUGGUAAAGAAACCCCGGCUAACUCCGUGCCAGCAGCCGCGGUAAUACGGAGGGGGUUAGCGUUGUUCGGAAUUACUGGGCGUAAAGCGCGCGUAGGCGGACUUUUAAGUUAGAGGUGAAAUCCCAGGGCUCAACCCUGGAACUGCCUUUAAUACUGGAAGUCUUGAGUUCGAGAGAGGUGGGUGGAAUUCCGAGUGUAGAGGUGAAAUUCGUAGAUAUUCGGAGGAACACCAGUGGCGAAGGCGGCUCACUGGCUCGAUACUGACGCUGAGGUGCGAAAGUGUGAGGAGCAAACA